UGGUCGGCAGGGGAGGAAAAGGAGCUCGGGUCCGACUCCGCCAUGGCUCAGGCUCGAACUCGCUGUGGCGGCGGGGCAGCGCCGGCGGAUAGAGUCAGGGGCGGGGCCGCGCCCGGGGAGGGGCCGCGCGAGGCCCCCUGGGAACGGUAGUUCCGCACUGCUGGAAAAGGGGCUGAGGAAGGGCCUUGGAGGACAAUAAUGCCCGUGGUGCUUUGCGAGAAGCCGCGCCCAACGGCCUCUGGGGAAGUUUUGGUUGGAUACUGCCGACUGCUUAAGAGUUCCACCCACCAGGGGCGAGUAGAAAAGGAUUUAGGGGUUGAACGCGCGAUGGGUGUCAUAUAGCUCCUCGUUAGUAUAGUGGUUUUUCUGGCCACUUGCCGUUUCCCCCGGGGAAUGCUGGCUAGCUAUGUGAUAUGGUCUGAAUUAUCCAUGAUAUUCAUACUGCAUCACAUCAAGUACAAAUCAUUAGAG